GAUAAAACAAGAAAGAACUGUAGCUGUGGGAAUAAAAGAAACGCCCAGGAAGCAGUCUUUUACAUCUCCUUAUCUGGGAACGUUCUAAGUUUCUUGAGGAAUUCUACACUGGAGAGAUGGGUGUGUCUGAAGGGGACUUGUUCCUGGGCUCACAGGAAUGGAAGAAACUUCUACUCCAAAUCAAAAUGACAAAAAUAUAUGCUGAAGAUGGAACUAUAAUCUUGAAACUGGCUUUGUUUGGAGAGAAAUGUCUGUGUUUGUGCUAUGGCUGAGAAACUGCAUCUUCAGCUAAGGGCAAGAUGAGACAAAUCAAGGACUCCAGGACGAACCCAAGAACUUUCCAGAAGGCUCCCAUGCAAUCAAUACCUGCUAUCUGUGAGAUGGCACCAACCUUGUGCAGGAGCACUUUGUAAUGUCUGACCUCAGACUCUGCUCUAAUCUUUUAAAGUGCUCCUUGGGACUUCUCUGACUCUACAUCAUGAGCAGCCUUGAUCAUGGGUACGUCAUCUGAAGACAUGUGUGUUCCUGGUACCACCACCUGUUGACAUGUAAAGAAAACUUGAGUGUAGUCAAAUAUACAAAUAUGUUACAGUUAAAAAUUUGAACCUACUUGUGCCCUUUGUAAGGCCCUUCUCUUCCCUUUAAAUAAUAUAUAAAUUUCUUGUUACACAUUUUGGCUAUUGAUUCAUUGGGAUUAUUCUUCAGUGAGGAAAGACCUAUAGCAUGUAAGAGAGAUUCGAUUUCAUUUUUUUUUCUUUUUUUUGAGAUAUGGGAGAUUUAUUGUCCCAGUCCCCAGUAUCUUGACUUUUCUUUCUUUAAUAUUUUAUUUAUUUAUUUUGUGUGUCCGUGUCCGUGUCCGUGUCCGUGUGUGUGUGUGUGUGUGUGUUUGUGUGUGUAUGUUUAUAGGUGUAUAUCCCACAGAGUGGGUAUAGGUUAUAGGAAAACUUGUGAGACUGAGUUCUUUUCUACCACUCCGUGGAUUACAGUGAUCAAACUCAGGUUUCCAGGCUUAGUGGCAAGAGCAUUGACCACUGAGCCAUCUUGCUAUCCCUUGGUUUUUCAUUCUGUGCAGUUGAUAAAUCCAGAAUACUGCAGUAUCUUCCUUCACUUAAACUUUUAAUGAAUCUUGCUGUCAGGCUGGACACCAUGUCUUCUAACCUCCUUAUUAGUCGUGUUUGGUAUUUGUUGUGUCUUUGGAGUCCAUAUAAAUGCUAGAGUGAUUUAGCAACUGAAAAGUUUUUCUUGAGUUCUAAAAAUAAAAUAUUAAAUUUCAUUGUAAAGAA